CCAUGACUAGCCUGACUUGGGGCUCCAACUCACCACCCUGAGAUCGUGACCUGAGCCCAGAUCAAGAGUCAGAUGCUUAACCGACUGAGCCACCCAGGCGCCCCUCUCAUUGGUUCUUGAAAUAAAGGUGGUGGAGAGUCUCCCAGCUCAGCUCAAUGCCUUAGUGUUGUCCCCGCACCCCCGGGUCUGCCCUGCCUCUCUGUGCAGUCGUCUCUGGUCCUUCUGCUGACCCCUCCCCCACUCACAUCCUCCUUCUAGACUGUCAGGAUGCCUCGCCCAGACAUCCUGAUACCCCUCCACCCCUGCAUGCGAUGAUUCAAGCACUCCGAAAAUCUGCUGACUUCAGCAUUUCACUCAAACCACUUCCCUCCCCAGGACUGGGCUCUGUCACAGAAGGGAUCAGAACUCCAGUCCUUCCUGCCUGCCUGAAAAGCACGAGGCACCUGCACAAGAAGGCAAAGAAAGAGCAGCACUUCCAAAGCUGCAGGGAGGCUGACAUGGCUCGACAGCUGAUCUGGGGCCCACCGUGGGAACAGGAAGACAAAAGAGCGGCCUUUUGCUUCCAGCCGCAAAUCCAAAGAGGAAACCAACCUGCUGCUAUCGGCAGUACAGCCUGAAGCAGGUAACGUCCAGGAGGUAACUUAUGUUGGGGUCUUCUGUGUGCCGAGCACCUAGCAUAUGUCAGGCACACAUCCUCACCGAACUUUCUCCACCUGCGGUAGGGUUAGUACUUAUAGAUGAAAGAUGUCGGCUUAGGGAGGCGGAGUAAUUUAGUGGAAUGAUUUGUAAAUUUCGCGUAUUGACUGAAGACCCAGGAGAAAACAGAAUUCCCUUCAAAAGGGUUUAGCUCAGGAGAACUUUUUUUUAGGUUUUGUUUAUGUAUUUGAGAGAGAGAGCGCGCAUGCGCACACACAAAGGGGGGGAGGGUAGGGAUAGGACAAAGGGAGAGGGAGAAGCAGACUCCCUGCUGAACAGAGAGCCUGACAUGGGGCUCCAUCCCAGGACCCUGAGAUCAUGAACUGAGCUGAAGUUAGACACUUAACCAACUGAGCCACCCAGGUGCCCCGAGUUCAGGAGAACUUAAAGAAGGGACUAUUUACAGACCUGCAGACUCGGUGUUAAGAGAAUCCACAAGGCACGUUAAAGACCAGGGGACUAACAAUAGCAGGAAGCCAGCACCGCCCCCCCCCCGGGAGGGGGGAUGGGGGAGCAGAGAGGACAAGGGGAAGGAAUAGUGUUACCAGGAGCCCAGAUGAGCAGAAGGAGGGAAGAAAUACCCCCAACCACUCUCCUCCUGCUUUUGUGCCUCUCAUGGGCUGACUCAAAAGGAAGUGGGGGGUGCAGUCCCUAGGGACUGAGGGGGGGAGGGUGAAUGGGGAUGGGGAGAAAUGCAGAACCACUAGCUCAGACCAUGGCGUGAAGCAGGAGUUGAACUCAGAACUCACCGACUCUGAACCCUGGAGUCCUGCUGCUGCGCACACAUCCCCUGUCCCACACACCACUCUGUAUGUGGGGCCGUCCUGCCAAGUAAGGACUCAAGCCUUUUCUUCUUUUCUGCUUUCUCUAGCAGGAAUGCCCUCUUCUAAAGAAUGGGCUGGGUGUUGGUCGGGACAGCUGCAUCUGGCAGAGAAACAUGAGCCCUGUAUUCCAAGCCUGACGCUUGCGUGCAUUUACGAUCCCAUGCUCACACGCCCCCUCCGUCAGGGACCCCGUUCCCCCUUCCCUUGGCCUGCACAGGGGCAUUCCACAGGACGAGGUUUCGUUUAUUGCUAUAUUCCUGUAUCGGCCUCGAUGCCCGGCACAAAAGACACUCACAGUGAUCACUCACAGUGGAACUCAAAUGCCUCUCAAAUGCCCUUUCCUCCGGGCCUUGGGUUUUUAUUUCGUAGAGUGAGUUUUCCAGAAGCUUCUCUACCUUCUAUUGCAGAUGAAGAAUGUGCUGAGUGCUCUUUUCAGCCAUUCAGCAUCACAGAACACUCUAUAGGAGUGCUAUUAGAGUGACAUGUCACAGCUAAGAAAAAUUAGCCACUGGAAGUUAAAUGACUUGCCUGAGGUCACCAGUAGAAAGUAUCGUCAGACACAGGGUUUGGUCUGGCAGCUCUCACCAGAGUCUGCUCUUAGCCUCUGCUCCACCCAGUCUCCCAGGGGACCUGCCUUAUAACAGGCACCAUCUUCUUUAACCCUGGUGGGACAGGAGCUGCCACUUCCUUGUUUCUUCCCUGGCCUGCGGGCCUAGCUUUCCUCUGCUCCUGUGAGUCCAGUUCCAGGCCGGCAGAGGCCUCAUCUCAGCCCUGGCUCACCGCCGCCCCUCCCCCUGCAGCCAACUGCUCAGGCCCUUUUAUGGGGUCCAGACUCCUGGGAGAGUUGCUGCCCUCUCUUAAGGUGCAUGGAGAGUGGGCCGGUAGGGGAGGGGGAACUUCAGCCCCUGCCUGGGCUGGGAGGAAGGGUGACUUCUGACUUGCUGGCCUUUACAGCUGGGAGGGAGACUGCUUUGGCAGGACUCAUGGCUCCACCCUCUAUGUCCCUUUGCCUGUGUGUGAGCUCAGGGGCCCAUCCCCACCUCCCCCUACUUCCCAGCUGCACUGAGGAGUUUGUGGCCAGUUUUCCUCACUUCCUCCCUUUGGCCCCCUCUGCCUGCUGAGCCCACGGCCCAGCGCUGCCCCCAGUCCCGGCUGCCCCCACCCCCAGGCCUGAGUUUAGGAACUGGCAAAAGGGCUGGAACCAGCCAGCAAAGGGAGGCCUUGGCAUUUGGGGCCAAGCCUGGGGUUACUGGGGUGGAUGGGAUGGUGAGUAGAGUCGAGGAAGGAAAUGUAUAGGUGGACAAUAGAAGAAGAAAGAAGGAGACCAUGGUCUCAGAGGCCUGGAGCAGCACCCUUGCUGUGAUUUGUUAUUUACUGAGCACUUAGCAUGUGCCAGCCACUACCCUAUUUACAUACUCUCACCGCCAGUCUGUGAAGGAGAUACUAGAAUCCCCAGUGUGCAAACAGGGAAACUGAGGCACCAUUAGGGGCCUGCCUAAGGGCACAUGGAUUUGGCUAAAUAGGGUUUUGAACCCAGGCCCAUCCUCUUCUCCUGUAAGCAAGAAAGCAGCUGAACUGGGAACCCCAGGGCAAAUGAAUUGACCCCAAGGAGGGGGGGAGUGCAGGAAAAACAGCUGUCCCCGGGCCUCAGAGUGAUCAAUUUGUGUUUAUUGUCAGCAUCUCCACCAGGGACCAUAUGCAGGAGUGGGUCCCAGCUUCCUGCCUGGCUGGGGCUGCUCUCCAGCCGCUGCCCCUCUGACGCAGGGCUGGGGUCAGGACGGAGCUGGGGUCCAGGCCUCCAGGUGCCCAUCAGGGCGCCACCAGUCAGGAUGACAGACUCCAGAAGCCCUCCCUGAACAAAGACUGGGUGGGAGGCGGCCUGGUGUGUCCCCACCCCGCCUACCCCAGCGCCUGCUGAGCCGCGACCGACCACAGACAGCGAGGCGGAGCGAGCAUGGCGGGGCUCCGGGCCGCUCUGCUGCCCCUCGUCCUGCCGCUCACGAGCCUGGCCCUGGUCUCGGUGACCGGUGAAGGUGGGGUCAUUCUCAGGGAUUCCCCUGAGCCUGUGGACAUCCACCACUACCAGCAGCAGGAGCCAGCCCACGCCUCAGCCCCUGCUGGGGCCCCGCAGGAGCAGGGGCGCCCCCUGGAGGAACGGCUGGGAAGGCUGGAAGCCCAGAUGAUGGAGCUCAGAGAGCAGAACAAGGAGCUGCAGGAGAGGGUGAGGCAGCUGGAGUCCUGCGAAUGCCGCCCAGCUUCUGCCCAGUGCUGGGGACUGGGGCGGGCCUGGCCUGAGGGUGCUCGCUGGGAGCCCGACACCUGCACAGCCUGUGUCUGCCGGGAUGGGGCUGUGCACUGUGAGCCCAAGCCUGGCCUGCCCCAUUGCCGUGGCUGCAGCCACAACGGUCAGGCCUAUGGCCAUGGGGAGAUCUUCUCUCCAGACGCCUGUACCACCUGCCACUGCUUGGAGGGAACCAUAACCUGUACCCAGAAGCCGUGCCCGAGGGGACCGUGCCCAGAGCCAGGAGCGUGCUGUCCGCACUGUGAGCCAGGCUGCCCUGGUGGCCACAGGGCUGGGGAAACGUGGCAUCCAGAGCCCUGUGUCAUCUGCACCUGCCAGGCAGGGACCGUGCGGUGCCAGGGGCCCUCAUGCUCAGAGCUCAACUGCCUGGAGAGCUACAUCCCGCCUGGGGAGUGCUGCCCCAUCUGCCGGCCAGGCUGUGAGUAUGAGGGGCAGUCUUAUGAAGAGGGGGCCAACUUCCUGUCCAGCUCCAACCCUUGUCUCCAAUGCUCCUGCCUGAGCAGCCUGGUUCGCUGUGUGCCCAUGAAGUGUCCACCCAGCCCCUGCCCUGAGCCGGUCCCGAGGCCUGGGCGCUGCUGCCCGACCUGCCGAGGCUGCACGGAAGGUGGCUCUCACUGGGAGCAUGGCCAAGAGUGGACUGUCCCUGGGGACCCUUGCCGGAUCUGCCAGUGCCUGGAGGGCCACAUUCAGUGCCGCCAGCGAGAGUGCGCCAGCCUGUGCCCGUACCCUGCGCGGCCGCUGCCAGGCACCUGCUGCCCGCUGUGUGAUGGCUGUUUCCUAAAUGGGCGGGAGUACCGCAGCGGAGAGUCGGUGGGCUCUGGUGACCCCUGCUCGCACUGCCACUGCACUAACGGGAGCAUCCAGUGUGAGCCUCUGCCCUGCCCGCCUGUGCCCUGCAGACACCCAGGCAGAAUCCCUGGGCAGUGCUGCCCAGUGUGUGACGGCUGUGAGUACCAGGGACACCAGUAUCAGAGUGAGGAGACCUUUAGACUCCGCGAGAGUAGGCACUGCCUCCGCUGCUCCUGCCAGGCCGGUGAGGUCUCCUGUGAGGAGCAGCAGUGCCCGCUUGCCCCUUGCACACUGCCUGACUCUGGCCCCCGGCUCUGCCCAGCCUGUGUGCUCGAGGGAGAGGAGUUCGCCGAGGGCGUCCAGUGGGAGCCUGAUGGUCAGCCCUGCACGGCCUGCUCCUGUCAUGAUGGCGUGCCCACGUGUGGGGCUGUGCUCUGCUCCCCGGCCCCCUGCCAGCACCCUACCCAGCCCCCCGGCACCUGCUGCCCCAGCUGUGAGAGCUGUACCUACCAUGGCCAAGUGUAUGCCAAUGGACAGAACUUCACAGACGCAGAUAGCCCUUGCCACGCCUGCCGCUGCGAGGAUGGGACUGUGAGGUGCUCCUUGGUUGACUGCCCUCCCACAACUUGUGCCAGGCCCCAGAGUGGACCCGGCCAGUGCUGUCCCAGGUGCCCAGACUGCAUCCUGGAGGAACAAGUAUUUGUGGACGGCGAGAACUUCUCCCACCCCCGAGACCCCUGCCAGGAGUGCCAAUGUCAGGAAGGCCAUGCCCUUUGCCAGCGUCGGGCCUGCCCCAAGGCCCUCUGUGCCCAUCCGCUGCCUGGUCCCUGCUGCCAGAACGUCUGCAACGGCUGUGCCUUUGGUGGGAAAGAGUACCCCAAUGGAGCCGACUUCCCUCACCCCUCCGACCCCUGCCGGCAGUGUCGCUGUCUGAGCGGCAGCGUGCAGUGCCUCGCCCGCCGCUGCCCGCCGCUGCCCUGUCCAGAGCCGGUGCUGGUGCCCGAAGAGUGCUGCCCGCAGUGCCCCGCCGCCGCCUCGGGCUGCCCGCGGCCGGGGGGCGGGGUUCCGGCCCGGCACCUGGAGCAUUUCUCCCUGCCGGACGACCCCUGCCGCCGCUGCCUCUGCCUCGACGGCUCCGCGUCCUGCCAGCGGCUGCCCUGCCCGCCUGCGCCCUGCGCCCACCCGCGCCAGGGGCCCUGCUGCCCCUCCUGCGACGGCUGCCUAUACCAGGGGACGGAGUUUGCCAGCGGGGCGCGCUUCCCUUCGCCCAGUGCCGCGUGCCACGUCUGCCUCUGCUGGGAGGGCAGCGUCAGCUGCGAACCUCGGGCCUGUGCCCCUGCUCAGUGCCCCUUCCCUGCCAGGGGUGACUGCUGCCCUGCCUGUGACGGCUGUGAGUAUUUAGGGGAGCCCUACCUGAGCAGCCAGGAGUUCCCAGACCCCCGAGAGCACUGCGGUCUGUGUACCUGCCUCGGAGGCUUCGUGACAUGCCGCCGCCGGCCCUGCGAGCCACUGGGCUGCAGCCACCCGCUCACCCCGGCUGGACACUGCUGCCCGACCUGCCAGGGAUGCCUCUAUCAUGGGGUCACGGCAGCCUCUGGAGAGACCCUUCCUGACCCACUUGACCCCGGCUGCUCCCUCUGCACCUGCCAGGAAGGUUCCAUGCACUGCCAGAAGAAGCCAUGUCCUCCAGCUCCCUGCCCCCACCCCUCUCCAGGACCCUGCUUCUGCCCUGUUUGCCACAGCUGCCUCUCCCAGGGCCAGGAGCACCAGGAUGGGGAAGAGUUUGAGGGGCCCCCAGGCAGCUGUGAGUGGUGUCGUUGUCAGGCUGGCCAGGUCAGCUGUGUGCGGCGGCCGUGCCCUCCUCUGUCCUGCUCACUCCAGGUCACGGAGCCAGGCAGCUGCUGCCCUCGCUGCAGAGGCUGCCUGGCCGAUGGGGAGGAGCACCCUGAAGGCAGUAGCUGGGUGCACCCCCAAAGCCCCUGUUCCUCCUGCACGUGCCAUGAGGGCGUCGUGACCUGUGCCCGCAUCCAGUGUGUCAGCUCCUGUGCGCGGCCCCACCAAGGCCUCAGCGACUGCUGCCCUCGAUGCUCUGACUGUGAGUAUGAGGGCCACAAGUAUGAACCAGGGGAGAGCUUCCAGCCGGGGGCAGACCCGUGUGAAGUGUGCAUCUGUGAGCUGCAGCCUGAGGGACCCCCCAGCAUUCAGUGUCACCGGCGGCAUUGUCCCAGUCUGGUGGGCUGUCCCAUCAGCCAGCUCCUGCCUCCUGGGCCCCAGCACUGCUGCCCCACCUGUGCCCAGGCGCUGAGUAACUGCACAGAAGGCCUGCUGGGCUCCGAGCUGGCCCCGCCGGACCCUUGCUACACCUGCCAGUGCCAGGACCUGACAUGGCUCUGCAUUCACCGGGCCUGUCCCGAGCUCAGCUGUCCCCCAUCAGAGCGCCAUACCCCCCCUGGGAGCUGCUGCCCUGUGUGCCAAGAAUGUAUGGUGGAGGCCGAGGGCCGGACAGUGGCAGAUGGAGAGAGUUGGCAGGACCCCAGCAACGCGUGCAUUACCUGCACCUGCCAACGGGGCCACGUGGAGUGUGACCUGGAGGAGUGCGCUGCCCUCUCCUGCCCCCAUGGCUGGGCGAAGGUGCGAGAGGCCGGCCGCUGCUGUGAGCGAUGCCAAGCGCCCGCCCAGUCGUGUGCGCACCAGGGCCGGGCAGUGGCCUCCGGGGAGCGCUGGGCCGUGGACGUUUGCACCACCUGCUCCUGCGUGGCCGGCACGGUGCGCUGCCAGAGCCAGCGCUGCCCGCCGCUCUCCUGUGGCCCGGACGAGGCCCCCGCCCUGAGUCCCGGCAGCUGCUGCCCCCGCUGCCUACCUCGACCCGCCUCCUGCAUGGCCUUCGGAGACCCUCAUUACCGCACCUUCGACGGCCGCCUGCUGCACUUCCAAGGCAGCUGCGGCUACGUGCUGGCCAAGGACUGCCACGGAGGGGAUUUCAGCGUGCACGUGACCAAUGAUAACCGGGGCCGGAGGGGUGUGGCCUGGACCCUGGAGGUGGCGGUGCUGCUCGGAGACGUGGCCGUGCGGCUGCUGCAGGACAGGGCGGUCACGGUCGACGGGCGCCUUGUGGCCUUGCCCUUCCUGCUGGAGCCCCUGCUGUACGUGGAGCUGCAGAGACGCACCGUGAUCCUGCACGCGCAGCCGGGGCUCCAGGUGCUGUGGGAUGGGCAGUCUCAGGUGGAGGUGAGCGUGCCUGGCUCCUACCGGGGCCGGAUGUGUGGGCUCUGCGGGAACUUCAAUGGCUUUGCCCAGGAUGAUCUGCAGGGCCCUGAGGGGUUGCUCCUGCCCACAGAGGCUGCGUUUGGGAAUAGCUGGCAGAUCCCAGAAGGGCCGGGACCUAGCCGGCCAUGUUCCAAGGGCCGCGCGGUGGAUCCGUGCAGGGCAGCAGGUUACCGAGCCAGGCGUGAGGCCAAUGCCCGAUGUGGGGUGCUGAAGUCCUCCUCGUUCAGUCGCUGCCACGCUGUGGUGCCACCGGAGCCCUUCUUUGCCGCCUGCGUGUAUGACCUAUGUGCCUGUGGUCCCAGCUCUUUGGCCAAUGCCUGCCUCUGUGACGCCCUGGAAGCCUAUGCCAGCCACUGCCGCCAGGCGGGGGUAACGCCUGUCUGGCGGGGCCCCACACUCUGCGGUGCAAGAGAGUCGGGCCUAUCGCUCAGGACUGGAGCUGCCCGCUGUGUUGCUGGAGAUGGAGUGGAGCCGGCGGGCCCAAGAGCAGGGCACCAUCUAACUUUCCAGAGUUCCAGGCUGUGCCCAUUGGCCCGGGCUGGGGACCUCUCUGAGCCAGAACCGUCAGCUUCCAGAAGGGGGGCAGGCUGUAGACCCAUCAUCAGCCCCGGAUCUGGAAGAUACCACGAGUGACCGAGACCCAAGGUGGAAGAGCCCUGCUACGCCUGCAGGGCCCACACACGGUUGCUUACAAGAGCUGAACCCCACCACCGGCAGUAGCUUUGGGGAUCCAGGAGGCUCUGAGUUCAAGGACUUGGCCCAGAGGGAAGAGAGGAGACAAGCAGCACCUACAACCCAGAGGCCAUCCACUAGCCUGUGGGGGAGGAAGCUCGCUCAGGGAGCCCCGAGGCCCUCAGGCCUGCCCUCCCAGGGUCUGUCAGAACCCCACGGUCCCCCCGAGGGGCUGAGCUGGAGCCUGGGCCCGGAGAGAGCAGAACUUCAGAAACUGCUGAGGAUAGCGAUUCCUCGGAGGCAGAGAGAGGAGGCUCCAUAAGAGCGGAAAGAGCGCCCCGGGGUUCAGAGGGGGGAGGCCCGCAGUGGGGAGAGCAAGGAAGUUCCUAAGAGACCCGCAGAGAAGAUACAGCAGCGCCAGAGGGGGGAGGCUCCCCAGGGUGAGAGGAGAGAGUCUCCUCAAGGUCAAAGAGGAAACAGCCCAGAGAGCCAGAGAAAAGAGGUCCUCCGGGAGCCGAGGAAGGAGACCCCUCAAACUUCCCCGGGCUGCCUCUCACAAGCCUGGGAGGUGCCUCAGGGAGAGGCGCCUACACAGCCCCCCGGCGGAAGGGGGUCCCUGGGGAUUUCUAGGGAUUUCUGCAGGCCCCUGGGAGAACAGAUGCCGCAGCCUGGGGGAAGGGAGAGCCCUGGCUCCGGGGAAAGGAC